rnacentral:rRNA from 1 species
GUAGGGGGCCAGCGUGUCCGGAUUCAUUGGGCGUAAAGAGCGUGUAGGCGGUUCAAUAGGUCCGAUGUGAAAACUCGAGGGCUCAACCUCGAGAGGUCGUCGGAAACCAUUGAACUAGAGUCCCGGAAGAGGAGAGUGGAAUUCCUGGUGUAGCGGUGAAAUGCGCAGAUAUCAGGAAGAACACCGAUGGCGAAGGCAGCUCUCUGGGACGGUACUGACGCUAAGACGCGAAAGCGUGGGGAGCGAACAGGAUUAGAUACCCUGGUAGUCCACGCCGUAAACGAUGGGCACUAGGUGUGGGUGGUGUCGACUCCAUCCGUGCCGAAGCUAACGCAUUAAGUGCCCCGCCUGGGGAGUACGGCCGCAAAGGCUA